AUAGAAGAUCUCUCAAAGCUGCAUGUCGUCCUAUCUCGGAGUGGCUGCCAAGGCCUUUGGAUGGUCUCCCUAGAGUUUGCGCUUCACAACACCCUGGGAAGUAUCACAACCCUUUCACAGAUAACUGAGAUGAGAUCCUUAACCCUUUUCAUGGGUCUUGGCUACAAUCACCUGCGGCUGUUGUCUUCAUUUACUUCCUGGACCUGGGGCUUUGGGAUUUGGAAUCCUCCUCUAGAUAGUCUUUCUUGGUACAUUUCACUUUGUUCUGAUUAUCUACUGCUGCAUAAUAAACCACUGCAAACUUGGCAAC
rnacentral:lncRNA from 1 species